UGCGAUAUGUUAGCGUACCUUUAGCAAGUGACUGUAGAAAGGUCAUUGAGGUUUAAAAAUUGAUUUAAUAACCUAAUUUGUAACUCCAGAGGAAGGGUCAGCCAGCGAGGAGAUGUGGUGUGACCUUGUCUUGGAUGUGCUGCUUUUGAGGGAAACGUUCGCAGAGGGACGGAGUAGCCGAGAAGAAGUGAUAACCAUCCGUGGAAUCUUGGCAGCGUCCGGAUUCGCCUCAGUGCCGUGAAAUCUUCGUUCGGCGGGACUGCCCUUUGUGGUCAACUCUGAGAUCUCGGAUGGUCAACCAUGAAGUUCAGCUCCAGGACAGCCCUCUGCCUCGCUGCGGCAGUAUUGUCAAUUUCCCGACUGCGAGAAGACCUACAACCCACAUAACUUAUUUUGUCCAACAGCAACAUCUUUUGAGAGAGUGCACGACUGAACCAUAUUUAACCUUUUGGUGUCAGACCACCCGCCAGUGGCUGGGCCUCUGGCGUCCCAUUCACCGUCGCAGCGGCACCAACAAGCUGGCCGAAUGUGAUAUAGAGCUGGACCGGAGGAACCGGGCGCUUUAUUCCCCACGAAACCCAAACAUCUCUGGAAGAGUUGUUGUUGACCGCGUCACAAAGUCUCCGUGGGCAACAAAUGCCCGGGCAGCAUAAAUUACCUUCAGUUUGAGGUAGGGAGUUUUAUGUGGAGAACAUUCACAGUCUUCUCUUCCCAUAAUUGGAAAAAAAAAAAAAAAAAAAGAUAAACUUUUACCCAAGUUGCGUCACACUCAAGAGGCUGCAGGAACCACAGCAGGAUUUCUGUCAUGUUUGAUGGUCUUCCAUCUGAAAGCUGCAGCAUCACAAAAAUCUUACUAUUACACCUAAGCGAAAAGCCACUCUGUGGGAUGUCCUGUGGUGGCCCAGGGGUUCUCGACACGGCCGUCGCAGGUUCGAUUCCCGGCCUGGUGACCUUUGCUGCAGCGCAGGUCUUCCCCUUCUCUUGUUACCCACUUUCCUGUC